AGCACGGUUCAUGGUGGAGGAUCAGCUCUUCACCCUCGUGAUCACGAGUAUGGCUGGGGUGUGGUGGCAAUGCAGGGCAGGUGGACUCUUCCUCACUGGUACGAUUGCUCUUGAGCUGCCUCCUGACAAUGCACCCAGGUGUGGCCUCCCACUGUCCCCUCCCUCGUCAAGACACAGGCCGGGACACUGAUAAUUUUUGUGGGCCUCUAGGACAGUCCCAAACUGGAGCUCCCUGGGCAUCUUCUACUGUUUCCCAGAUUGCUGCUGCUCCCUCAGGAGGAGAGGGGCUGUGGAGAGAAAGAAGGAGAGGAGAGAAUCUUUUUCCUUUUUUAUUGGUGCAUUAUAGUUGUACAUAACGGUGGGGUUUGCGGUUACAUGUUAGUUCACACACAUGAUGUGACAGUAUAAAAGGAGGGAAUCUUUGGGCCAUAGGCCCUUGCUUAGGCAGGCCACCAUUGAUGGAUAUGAAGGGGAGCCACCACGUUCUCACAUUAAGAUCUGAAGCAUUGAAUCACUUGCUUGAAGGAUAUUGAGAACAGAAUAAAUUGACUUGGGGCCUAAAAAUAAUUUCUUGCUUCUUCCAGAAUCACUAGGGCUUCAGAACCUGUGGCAGGUUAUUGCAGAACCCUGAGGGACUUUGUGUCCGGGAGUGAUGGCAGAGGACCACGAGGAUGUUCAGACAGUACCAGGUUCCACACCGAGCAUUGUGUUCCACUGCUCACCUCUGCCCUGGCCCAAGCUUCCCGUGUUCUAAGUAAGUCUGCAGAGGACCUCGUGUUCCGUCUGAUCAUGUGUGAUCACGGCCAAAGAAACAUUUGCCUUCAACUGCAAGACAAGAACGAAAUUCCACACCAGAGUUCCCAAACACACAGUCCCCUGAAGGAAACAAACAAACAAAAUAAAACAUGGAAACAAAUCAGGCUGGGAACUUGAGCAUACAUCAGAUGAGCAGGGCAGGAGCCGAAGACCUCCCACCCCAUCCCAUCCCCAACCUGCUGCUGACCAUUGCAAAUUGAUGAAGCCCCUGCUGGGUUGAUACCAUGGUGCUGAUUGAGAACUCCCAAGGGAGACUGCCCUCCCACCAUCUCACCUGAAGGAAACGGGAUCACCAGGAAGAAGAAGACAGUUGGAAGAUACAGGUUCAUGGCUGCCCAGGGCACAGAGCUGCUCCUCCCCUGGCUGGCUGGUGGGGAGGUGGCUUUAUAGAGCCUGGCUGAGAUGGGUGGGGCUGGACAGUGGCCUUCUUCUUCCUGGGAGCAUACAGCUUCUGCAGGGUUGGAGGAAGAACAACCCUUUGUCAUUCAGCAUGCUAGGCAACUGCCUCCUUUUCUACAAACCACCCGAGAGGAAAGGGCUCAGCUAGGAGCAAAAUGUUUCCCCUGAGCAAAGCUAGACUGGAAACCAGGCUCUUCAUGCCUGCCCCAAUACAAUUCCUCUCACACCUCAAAAAUGUAGGGUUAGGGUCUACACUGGUCUUCCUUCCCUCCUUAGUCCCUCUGAGAAAUCAGGGAAGUGCUUGUCAUAAAACACAGGCUUAACUCAAGAUGGGGAAGGGUGUAGGCAAGAACUCCGUGCAGGGGCUCACGGAUGCAAAGCAUCUCAAGGUGUCCACUGUGCCUGACCCAGGUGCUCAGAAAGUGCAGAAGGGAGGCUUCUUCCUCUUCUGGUGGCCUAUUGAUCCACCUGGCUCAAGGGCAGACACUGUAGGAAAUUCCCCAGCAGACUACCUAGAUGGGCUUCAUUUUCCAAAUAGCCGUAUGAAAUGUCGGCCAGGACGUGGGGACUUUGAGGGGUCUGGGAGAAGUUCCCACUUUGGAGUGGAUGAACUGGUCUCUUGCCAGGAGAGCCAGCGUCCUGCUGAGCACAAGGAUGGGUGCCCAGAGCCAGAGUAGAGCUUGACAAUGUUUCCCUGGAGCUAGAGACACAGUUCUGGGAAAGGAUCAUUAGGCUCUACCCCCUAGGGGCAUGGAUGGGUGACUGAUACUGGAGAAGAAGCUAAAUUUGAUUUUAUUCUUCCCCUUGAGGCAGCCUUGUACCUCCCCAGCCCUCACAAUAGGACUCUGAAUCUGCAGUGUGAAUCUGCAGUACAGCUUGGUUUUAUUCAGCAUAGCAGGCGUCUAUCCUCUGGGUCAUUGUUCAUUGUUUAUCUCAGAUUCCUUUUCUCAUAGAGUGCACUGUUCUUAGAAGGAUUUUUUUUUUUUUUUUUUUUUUUAGCAUGAAAUGAGGUAGAACUCACAAUAGGCUUUGUAGGCAUACCUUUGGUCCUGGUUAUUAAAGUCUGUCCCUGUACUUCUCCCUCCCCCUUGGUUCCUUUCUGAUCUCCUUUUGAUUUGCAUGAGAUCUGCCCCCAGAUCUUUUCCUUUUUUUCUCUCUACUUUCCACGCAGGAGAGAAAACCUUCUGAGUUUGACUUAUUUCACUUAAUAUGAUGGUCUUUUAGUUCCAUCCAUUUUCCUGCAAAUGACAUGAUUUUCAUUUUUGUUUACGGCUGAAUAAAACUCCAUUGUGUAUAUAUACCAUAGACCUUUAUUGUAUUUAUCUAUAUGUGGUACUGAGAAUUGAACCCAGUGCCUCACACAUGCUAGGCAAGUGCUCUACCACCGAGCCACAACCCCAGCCCCAACCA